GAUAAUGAUGACAGAGAACCAAACAUUUCAUUGAGCUGAUCUUUGCUUAUUUUCCGUGGAGAAAAGCGUGGUAGUGUAAUUCGGACUUUAAGCGGUAAUGUUCUAAAUUCGGAAUUCCUAGAUUUUUUCAGGAGAAGAAAGUGACAGGCAGAUACUAUUUGUGGAAAUAGAUGUCAUUUAUACAUCUCCAGAAUCAGUGAUAAGUAAUGCAGUUUGGAAGGAAUAUAUGAAAAAAAGACAACAUAGUCAUUGAUGAAUUUUAUACGAUUGCAGCAUGGUGAAUUUUCAUUUACUUAUUGUGAGUAAGUGUAUUUCAUAUACAAACACUAUUCCUACUAAUGAUUUCUCAUGUUUGAUAACCACCACUGCCCAGAUUAUUCUUUUUUAUCUAAGGGCGAAGACCGAAUUGGUUCAAAGAAACAAGCAUUGGUGAAGUGGUUUCCGCAACUGGGAGAAUAAAUAUCUUUAUUUCCAAAAGCCAGUGUUAUCGCACUGAGUGAAACAUCUACAGUAAAAAUUUAGAAAAGAUUUUCAAAACGCGUUUGGACCAAACACAGUAGAAAUUGUUACGUCUCCAAAUAAAGCUAACAUGAAAUACUCAAUAUCUAAAGUAUCCAGUGAUCUUCAAAUGGCACUGCCCUGGAGUGUAGACGGAAUUCAACAUUUGCAGAGUGACUUUCCCCAAAACAUUAAUCUACUGUUCUAGCAUUAAUGAUGUUUCUAAAUUUUACGCUUAUCUCGUUAAGGAGGUGGAUGGCAAUAGUUUUUCUCUCAUUGAAAUGUUUCACUCAGAAACACCCAUUGGCAAAACAAAAUCAACAAAUAACACAGCCUAAGUGAAUAAAAAUAACACCUCAACAUUAUUUAAGUGAUUUGCACUAGUGCAUUAGUGAUGGUUAUCGAUGUAAUCCUAUUGCAACGGUGUAAUUCUGUUCGCAAUAUCCGAAAAUAUUUUAGAUUUGGUGCAAGAAAUAGGGCACAUUGGAAGAUAUGGGGAAUCAUCAAUUGCCUUGAUUUUGUUUAACACCUACCAUCUGUGUACAUUUGACAAAUCCAUGCAAAAUAUCCUACGUUCACUUACUUGUUGAUGAAUAAACAUUAUGAAACAGU